rnacentral:rRNA from 1 species
AGCGAACGCUGGCGGCAGGCCUAACACAUGCAAGACGAACGGAUCCUUCGGGAUUAGUGGCGGACGGGUGAGUAACACGUGGGAACGUGCCCUUUGGUUCGGAACAACUCAGGGAAACUUGAGCUAAUACCGGAUGUGCCCUUCGGGGGAAAGAUUUGUCGCCAUUGGAGCGGCCCGCGUCUGAUUAGCUAGUUGGUGAGGUAAAGGCUCACCAAGGCGACGAUCAGUAGCUGGUCUGAGAGGAUGAUCAGCCACAUUGGGACUGAGACACGGCCCAAACUCCUACGGGAGGCAGCAGUGGGGAAUCUUGCGCAAUGGGCGAAAGCCUGACGCAGUCAUGCCGCGUGAAUGAUGAAGGUCUUAGGAUUGUAAAAUUCUUUCACCGGGGACGAUAAUGACGGUACCCGGAGAAGAAGCCCCGGCUAACUUCGUGCCAGCCGCCGCCGUAAUAC